AGAGUUUGAUCUGGCUCAGGAUGAACGCUAGCGACAGGCUUAACACAUGCAAGUCGAGGGGCAGCGGGGGUGAUGGCUUGCCAUCACCUGCCGGCGACCGGCGCACGGGUGAGUAACACGUAUGCAACCUGCCCGCCACAGGGGGAUAAGCGGAAGAAAUUCCGUCUAAUACCGCGUGACGCGGCGUCGGGGCAUCCCGGUGCCGCCAAAGGGAUUACCGGUGGCGGAUGGGCAUGCGGCGCAUUAGCUAGUCGGCGGGGUAACGGCCCACCGAGGCGACGAUGCGUAGGGGUUCUGAGAGGAAGGUCCCCCACACUGGUACUGAGACACGGACCAGACUCCUACGGGAGGCAGCAGUGAGGAAUAUUGGUCAAUGGGCGGGAGCCUGAACCAGCCAAGUCGCGUGAGGGAUGACGGUCCUACGGAUUGUAAACCUCUUUUGCCGGGGAGCAAGCGUGCGUUCGUGAACGCGCGUCGAGAGUACCCGGAGAAAAAGCAUCGGCUAACUCCGUGCCAGCAGCCGCGGUAAUACGGAGGAUGCGAGCGUUAUCCGGAUUUAUUGGGUUUAAAGGGUGCGUAGGCGGGAUGCCAAGUCAGCGGUAAAAAUGCGGUGCUCAACGCCGUCGAGCCGUUGAAACUGGCGUUCUUGAGUGGGCGAGAAGUAUGCGGAAUGCGUGGUGUAGCGGUGAAAUGCAUAGAUAUCACGCAGAACUCCGAUUGCGAAGGCAGCAUACCGGCGCCCUACUGACGCUGAGGCACGAAAGCGUGGGUAUCGAACAGGAUUAGAUACCCUGGUAGUCCACGCAGUAAACGAUGAAUGCUAACUGUCCGGUGCGAAUGAGCGCUGGGCGGUACAGCGAAAGCGUUAAGCAUUCCACCUGGGGAGUACGCCGGCAACGGUGAAACUCAAAGGAAUUGACGGGGGCCCGCACAAGCGGAGGAACAUGUGGUUUAAUUCGAUGAUACGCGAGGAACCUUACCCGGGCUCAAACGCAGGAUGACGGGUCCCGAAAGGGGCCUUUCUUCGGACAUUCUGCGAGGUGCUGCAUGGUUGUUGUCAGCUCGUGCCGUGAGGUGUCGGCUUAAGUGCCAUAACGAGCGCAACCCCUGUCCACAGUUGCCAGCAGGUAAAGCUGGGGACUCUGUGGAGACUGCCGGCGCAAGCUGCGAGGAAGGCGGGGAUGACGUCAAAUCAGCACGGCCCUUACGUCCGGGGCGACACACGUGUUACAAUGGCAGGUACAGCGGGAUGCCACGGGGCGACCCGGCGCUGAACCCGAAAACCUGUCUCAGUUCGGAUUGGAGUCUGCAACCCGACUCCAUGAAGCUGGAUUCGCUAGUAAUCGCGCAUCAGCCACGGCGCGGUGAAUACGUUCCCGGGCCUUGCACUCACCGCCCGUCAAG
rnacentral:rRNA from 1 species